rnacentral:rRNA from 1 species
CUACGGGAGGCUGCAGUGAGGAAUUUUGCGCAAUGGGGGAAACCCUGACGCAGCAACGCCGCGUGAGUGAUGAAGGCCUUCGGGUCGUAAAACUCUGUCAAGCGGGAAGAACCUACGUAAGGGUAAUAUUCUUAUGUACUGACGGUACCACUGGAGGAAGCACCGGCUAACUCCGUGCCAGCAGCCGCGGUAAUACGGAGGGUGCAAGCGUUAUUCGGAAUUAUUGGGCGUAAAGGGCGCGUAGGCGGUUUUGUAAGUCAGAUGUGAAAGCCCGGGGCUUAACCCCGGAAGUGCAUUUGAUACUGCGAGACUUGAGUAUGGGAGGGGGAAGUGGAAUUCCUGGUGUAGAGGUGAAAUUCGUAGAUAUCAGGAGGAACACCAGUGGCGAAGGCGACUUCCUGGACCAAUACUGACGCUGAGGCGCGAAGGCGUGGGGAGCAAACAGGAUUAGAUACCCGGGUAGUC